rnacentral:lncRNA from 1 species
GCACCGUCUUUAUCUUCUUCUUUGUCCAUCCAUCUUCGACAUCUCAAGCCGCCAACAACACAGCCGUGGACUUAUCUUUAUUCGUCUACCUUUCAUCCUAAAAUCCAUUCAAACCAAAAAAAAUCUUCCCAUCGUCGACCAUCGCAGCGUCAAUCGCCACCCUUGCCUACUUAAACCCAUUUCCAAAAUUCCAAGUUUUCCUUGCCCAAAAUACACUUUCCCACACAACGAAUAAAAAUCAUAUGAACAUGUUCAAGGGAAUGGAUACCAAAAAUGAUUGCAUUAACAAAGUAGCAUAACCUUAUAAAUAGUAGUCUUCUUUUCCCCUUUUUUCCCUUUUGGCAGCAAUCUGCUUCGCAUCCAUUUUGUUCCCCUUUUGGCAACAAUCUAUUUCACAUCCAUUUUUCCCUCUUAUGCCAAGACAAAGUGGAGAAUCCACACAUUCACGGAUGAAGGUAAAAAUUUUUAAGUUCAAUUUGUUAAAUUGGUAAUACAAACUAUGAAAUAAUGAUUUGCAGGAUUGAAUUAUUAAAGGUUGAAUUAGUCAUGAAACAAUACCUCCUUGCCCUCUUAGCGGCGCAAAGUGUUCCUGUUACUUCGUUGAACCAAUGUUACCUGAAAAGUGAGGACGAGGCUUUUCUCUCCUGUUUUAGCUUUGCGUGAGAAUCAGUAUACAGUGUUAGGAAAAGAAAAGACGGAAUUCAGGUAGCUAAAGUGUUUUUUUUUCCUUUUUCUUUUUUAGGACGGGGCUUUUCUCUCUCGUUUUACCUCCGCCUGAGAAUCUGUAUACAGUGUUAGGAAAAGAAAAGACGGAAUUCAAUAGCUAAAUUUUUAUUUAUUUUUUAUUUUUUGUCCAUGCUUGUUUCACCUUGGUUGUAUUUAUAGGUGACUGGAGCAGUGUGAUCGCUUGGCGGUUAUGGUGCCACAUGUUCCAUGCAACCGCUUCCACUACUCCAACGUUCUGAGUGGAGGGCCUUUAACUACUCGCGGGUUGGUUGUACCAGUGAGAGCCGUUAUGUGAAUCUCAUCAUUUCAUUGAUGAUUUUAUGAUUAAGUGUUGGAUUCGCCACGUAGGCAAUUUCAUGGGGGUUAACACCCCAAUAUAGUUGUAGAGUGCUAAUAGGGGUCGACGGUCUG